rnacentral:misc_RNA from 1 species
GAUAUUUCGAUAUCAGCAACUGAAAUCUCAAUAGAUUGCUGACAUUGUACAUAAUCACAUCAUGUUUUUAGUUGUCUAAUCUAAAAGUUGCACUAACCCCUCAAGUUGUAAAUGCUGCCAUUCAAUAAUAUUUGACGGGUUGAAGAUUCACUUGCUCUCUUGAUUACUUAUUAUAUUUCUUGGUAUGAUACCUGACACUGAUAAGUAUUAGCACCUUUGCAAGAUGCAAACCAUGCUGCUUGUGAGUUGCAGAAAUGGUGCAGCCUUGAAUUCCUCGGUUUGUUCCG